AUUUACGGUUCAUGUUAUAUUAAUACUGCGGCUUGAUUAUCAAAAACCAUUACUCUUGGUUAUCUCGCCGAGGUUGAACCAAGCUGCUAUAAGUCAGGCUGACUACCCGCACAGUGUGUGUUUUGUUUUUAUGAUAACAGCAUUCUAAAUUUAAAAGUGCAUUUGUAAAAUUACGUUCCUGGGUUGGAUUCAUUAUAAAUGGGGUGAGCUCACACAAUUGUGUGGCGCGCAUGCACAUGUACACAGAGGAAAAACAACACACAUCAAUAAAAGAAGGGGAGAUAACAAAAAAAACUCCUUGACUCAUUCAAGUUCCAGGCAGGUCAUUUUCACUUGUGGUCAAACUCAGGGGUAUGACGUUAACAUUCUUUAAAAAUUCUUUGUUCCCUUCGCCCUGGGCAGAAAAACAAUAGACCGUCUGCUUCCUUUUCUUCUCUGUGUUAUGUUUUGAUGUUGUUUUCCCUCUUAGCGAUAUGCCUCAUGGCUCUCUCCCUUUUUUAUAUAUUAUUAUAAUGAUACUGUAUUAUUCUAUACCACAGCAGAUCCCUAUGGAGGAAAAGGAUUGUUUCAGAGUUUCUUUGUGGAUUACAUGCAUUUAGGAUUUGUUUACAAUAAUGAUUCGUUUGUCAUAACCUCUCAUGCUAAUGCCAUUGUGCUUGGCUUUUUAAUUUCAUCCUCCCUUACUGUGAUACUUUCACAGGGCUUGUUUGUAUUUGUUUGAAAGAAGGCCUAAUAAAGGACAGAGCCUGCCUUAAUAAUCAUCUCCCUAUCUUAGAUAUCUGUUUUAUUAAGCAUGCGAGUCUGAGCAAGAGCUCUGCUGGGUCUCUCUACUGUCAAGGACACCUGGGGAGGAAUGACUUCCAGCCCCCAAAGUUUCUUUGCAAACAGAAGCUCAGAGCUCUCAUGGGUGAUCCUUGGCCAUUGAAAAUUCCUCAUUUAUUUAAAUUAUUUGUUGUUCCAUGUCUAGUGUGAGGACAACACAACCCUGUAUAAAUAGGAAUGCUUGCCUAGAAUUCUGAUUCCCAGGAAAGGAGGAAAGAGAAAGUGCUUCCUCUAUGACAAAUUGGAUUAAGGAGUUUGUAGCUAAACAUUUCGGGGUGUUUUUGUACCAUCCAUGUAGUAGAAACUUCUCAAUGCUUUCAAACAAUGGGGCCGUUUCACAGAUGGUCCUGGGGUCAUCAAUUUAGCACGGCUGCUACAAGGCUCAUCUUCCCUGGAGCCAAAUUACAUGAUCCGUGGGAGAGUUGUGACUGAUUUGCCAUUUUGGUGUGUGUUAAGAAAAAAACAUGGGGAGCUCCAAAUACUAUGAAGAUGGUUAAACCAGGGGUAGCCAUUAUGUCACCUUCCAGAUGUUGUGGACUACAACACCCAUCAUCUCCAGCCAGCAUGGCCCAUAGCUGGGGGUGAUGUGCAUUGUAGCCCACAACAUCUGGAAGGUAUCACAUGGGCUUCCACAAUGCUGUUUUUCUCAUUCUAAAACACCCCCUGAAACUGCUAGCUGCAGUUAGGGGGAAUGUGGGACCAACAGCAGCUGUUGUUGUUGGUUAGUCGUGUCCGACUCUUCGUGACCCCAUGGACCAGAGCACACCAGGCACUCCUGUCUUCCACUGCCUCCCGCAGUUUGGUCAAACUCAUGCUGGUAGCUUCGAGAACACUGUUCAAUCAUCUCGUCCUCUGUCGUCCCCUUCUCCUUGUGCCCUCCAUCUUUCCCAACAUCUGGGUCUUUUCCAGGGAGUCUUCUCUUCUCAUGAGGUGGCUAAAGUAUUGGAGCCUUGGCUUCAGGAGCUUUAUGGAAGUCAAAUAUAGAACAAUAAGCUGGUGCUGGGGAAGGGUUUAAACCAGGGGUCAGCAAACUUUUUCAACAGGGGGCUUUUUCAGCACUGUCCCUCAUACCAUGUGGUGGGCUGGACUAUAUUUUUUUUUGGGGGGGGGAGAACGAAUUCCUAUGCUCCACAAAUAACCAAGAGAUGCAUUUUAAAUAAAAGCACACUUUCUAUUCAUGUAAAAACACGCUGAUUCCCAGACUGUCCAUGGGCUGGAUUUAGAAGGCGAUUGGGCCAAAUCCAGCCCCCAGGCCUUAGUUUGCCUACCCAUGGUUUAAACAUUAUCUCCUGCAGCAUCUCUGAGACAAUCAAAUUUGGAGGCAGCUGACCCCUACCCCAGUGGUUGCUGCAAAGAACAAAUUAAAAGAACAAAACAAGUUCCCAAUUGUUCAUUUGCUGGAGCAACGCACCUCUGUGCCUUGCUCCAGGAUCACGAAGGGGUUUGCAUUGAAAGCCCUGCUAAAAUAGGGUCUCCCCACUUGCUGUAUACAUAACCAUGUCUACCUCUAAAUAUGUCACUGGCAGCUGGGGGUUGCAGUUGACAUAACACCAACUGCUGCCUGUCCCAAUAGGGUCUCUGGCAAACCUUCAGGACUGGCGUAUGGAACCAUCCAGUCACAUCAGCUUACACAUGGUAUAGCUAAUGGUUUGUUUGGUAUCUAAUGGACUACUUGCAUGUUUUAUAUAUGAUGGCUGUUAAUUGCUUCAUUAUCCAUGCAGAUCAUAAAGGCAAACUGUGUCUUAACAUAAAAUCAGCAUUGAGGCCGUUUGGAAGCCGAUUUAGAGGAGAGUAUUAUUGUUGUCCAUACUUCCUCCUCUACUUUUGCAUUCUUUUCUGAUUUUUUAAAUGGCCUGGCAUUAGGCUCCUGCAAUGUUUUCUCCACUGGCUCAGUCUUGGGUUAAAAUUAUCCAGCCCCUAUGAAUUAAGGUGAACCCACUGACUGCUCAAGUACUUAGGAUAUAGCUGGAUUAUGCAAUGCUAGUUUGAUUGGAUAGUAGUUUGAUUGGGGAAAGGGAGGGGGAGACGGCCGUAAAGUUCUGAAAUUGUUCAUCAGUCCAUGAUUCAAAUAACUGGGAUGUUUUCCCUUGAGCAUAAAUCUUACUCUCAGUGAUUAUAAUGCACAGCAUUGGCAAUAUUUAUUUAGAUUUUUAACUGUCAUAUAUCCCUAAGCUCAGAGCAGGUAACAGAGUUUGAAAACAAGAAGUAACCGAAGCAACGGAAAAGUAACAAAAGCAGACUUGGCUAUAGGAUGAAAUAAUUGGUCAACUUUUAUACAGUUCCUCUGGAAAAUAAUCAUUCCCAGUCUUUGCUGGACCUUGGAAGGAAGGUCUGAAGCUUAGUGGAUAGAUGCCACCAAGAUUGCUUCUGCAUGCUAACCUCUGUUUUUUAAAUGACGUUGCUUUAUAAUCAAGAAAAUGUAACGGAAGAUUUACGGCAUGCUCUGAUGCAUCCCACAGAGUAAUUCCCAAGUAACUAUGCAUAGAGCUGCAGCCAUAUAUAUAUAUAUAAUAUUUUAUCUAUUGCCAUUCAUGUAUAGAUCUCAGUGCAGUUCACAACAUAC
rnacentral:lncRNA from 1 species